ACGAACCCUGGCGGCGUGCUUAACACAUGCAAGUCGAACGGUGAAAGCGGAGCUUGCUCCGCUGGAUCAGUGGCGAACGGGUGAGUAACACGUGGGCAACCUGCCCCAGACUCUGGGAUAACUUCUCGAAAGAGACGCUAAUACCGGAUACGAACUCUGUAGGCAUCUACGGAGUUGGAAAGUUUUUCGGUCUGGGAUGGGCCCGCGGCCUAUCAGCUUGUUGGUGAGGUAGUGGCUCACCAAGGCGACGACGGGUAGCCGGCCUGAGAGGGCGACCGGCCACACUGGGACUGAGACACGGCCCAGACUCCUACGGGAGGCAGCAGUGGGGAAUAUUGCGCAAUGGGCGAAAGCCUGACGCAGCAACGCCGCGUGCGGGAUGAAGGCCUUCGGGUUGUAAACCGCUUUCAGCAGGGAAGAAGCGAAAGUGACGGUACCUCCACAAGAAGCCCCGGCCAACUACGUGCCAGCAGCCGCGGUAAUACGUAGGGGGCGAGCGUUGUCCGGAUUUAUUGGGCGUAAAGAGCUCGUAGGCGGUUCAACAAGUCGGUCGUGAAAGUUCAGGGCUCAACCCUGAAAUGUCGAUCGAUACUGUUGUGACUAGGAUACGGUAGAGGUGAGUGGAAUUCCGAGUGUAGCGGUGAAAUGCGUAGAUAUUCGGAGGAACACCAAUUGCGAAGGCAGCUCACUGGGCCGCUAUCGACGCUGAGGAGCGAAAGCUAGGGGAGCAAACAGGAUUAGAUACCCUGGUAGUCCUAGCUGUAAACGAUGGAUACUAGACGUAGGAACUGGAUUGACGGUUUCUGUGUCGUAGCUAACGCGCUAAGUAUCCCGCCUGGGGAGUACGGUCGCAAGACUAAAACUCAAAGGAAUUGACGGGACCCCGCACAAGCGGCGGAGCAUGCGGCUUAAUUCGAUGAUACCCGUAGAACCUUACCUGGACUUGACAUAUAGGGUCAAGCUAUAGAGAUAUAGUGUGCUAAGGGCCCCAAAACAGGUGGUGCAUGGCUGUCGUCAGCUCGUGUCGUGAGAUGUUGGGUUAAGUCCCGCAACGAGCGCAACCCUCGUCGUAUGUUGCCAGCAGAUAAUGCCGGGGACUCAUACGAGACUGCCGGGGUCAACUCGGAGGAAGGUGGGGACGACGUCAAGUCAUCAUGCCCCUUAUGUCUAGGGCUGCACGCAUGCUACAAUGGCCGGUACAGAGGGCUGCGAAACCGCGAGGUGGAGCGAAUCCCAAAAAGCCGGUCUCAGUUCGGAUUGGGGUCUGCAACUCGACCCCAUGAAGUCGGAGUCGCUAGUAAUCGCAGAUCAGCAACGCUGCGGUGAAUACGUUCCCGGGCCUUGUACACACCGCC
rnacentral:rRNA from 1 species